rnacentral:rRNA from 1 species
GCAGUAGGGAAUCUUCCGCAAUGGACGAAAGUCUGACGGAGCAACGCCGCGUGAGUGAUGAAGGUUUUCGGAUCGUAAAGCUCUGUUGUUAGGGAAGAACAAGUACCGUUCGAAUAGGGCGGUACCUUGACGGUACCUAACCAGAAAGCCACGGCUAACUACGUGCCAGCAGCCGCGGUAAUACGUAGGUGGCAAGCGUUGUCCGGAAUUAUUGGGCGUAAAGGGCUCGCAGGCGGUUUCUUAAGUCUGAUGUGAAAGCCCCCGGCUCAACCGGGGAGGGUCAUUGGAAACUGGGGAACUUGAGUGCAGAAGAGGAGAGUGGAAUUCCACGUGUAGCGGUGAAAUGCGUAGAGAUGUGGAGGAACACCAGUGGCGAAGGCGACUCUCUGGUCUGUAACUGACGCUGAGGAGCGAAAGCGUGGGGAGCGAACAGGAUUAGAUACCCUGGUAGUCCACGCCGUAAACGAUGAGUGCUAAGUGUUAGGGGGUUUCCGCCCCUUAGUGCUGCAGCUAACGCAUUAAGCACUCCGCCUGGAGACUCG